AUUUAACCAGUAGCUCUGUUGAUUGAAAUAAAAAACAAAGGUCUUACCCAAUGGAUGCUGGGCAAAGUACACCACGUUUCUCAAAUUUGGUGUACACCUAACGAGCUCAAACCACAAAUUUCAGUAUGAAUUCGGUUUCAAAAUAUAUAUAGAUUUCUUGGAAUACAGGGUUAGAGAUGCUAUAAAUAUGGCCUUCAUGUAGGCUAGCCUUAUCCAGAGGAUGAGAGGAAGGCAGUCAUGUUGCUACUUGCUAGGAUUGAGUUGCAGUUCUACUAGCUUUGCUUAAAGGUUCAAGUCUGCUAAAGCAAUCCAGUAAAUCGACCAACUCGGUACGCUAGAAUACCAUGUGCAAUGAAUUGGGGUUGCUUUCCUGAUUGAAUUGUAUAUGUUCAAAUGAACAUUUAGGUGCAUUUCUAUCUCAACAUUGUAAAUUAAAUCUCAUUCUCUUCGUAUGCCGAUUCAGUGACCAA